UUGACCUCGGAUCAGGUAGGAAUACCCGCUGAACUUAAGCAUAUCAAUAAGCGGAGGAAAAGAAACCAACAGGGAUUGCCUCAGUAACGGCGAGUGAAGCGGCAACAGCUCAAAUUUGAAAUCUGGCCCCAGGCCCGAGUUGUAAUUUGCAGAGGAUGCUUCGGGCGCGGCGCCUCCCAAGUCCCCUGGAACGGGGCGCCUGAGAGGGUGAGAGCCCCGUACGGUUGGAUGCCUAGCCCUUGUGAAGCUCCUUCGACGAGUCGAGUAGUUUGGGAAUGCUGCUCAAAACGGGAGGUAGACCCCUUCUAAAGCUAAAUACCG
rnacentral:rRNA from 1 species